rnacentral:rRNA from 1 species
GAGUUUGAUCAUGGCUCAGAGCGAACGCUGGCGGCGUGCCUAGGCCAUGCAAGUCGUACGCGGUCCCGGUUUGUGCUUGCACAGACCGGGAUGCGGCGUGGCGAACGGGUGAGUAACGCGUGGGUAACCUACCCUCGGGGUGGGGGGAUAACCCGGGGAAACCCGGAACAAUCCCGCAUAACAUCCCGUCACAUAAGUGACGGGAUCAAAGAGGGCCUCUGCUUUGCAAGCUCUCGCCUGAGGAGGGGCCCGCGUCCUAUCAGGUUGUUGGUAGGGUAACGGCCUACCAAGCCUACGACGGGUAGCCGGUGUGAGAGCAUGGCCGGCCACACUGGGA